GUGGUCAUGCUACAAAGAGCGCAGGGCGGAUGCCUUGGCACUGAGAGCCGAUGAAAGACGUGAUAAGCUGCGAUAAGCGCUGGGGAGGAGCAAAUAUCCUUUGAUCCAGCGAUGUCUGAAUGGGGGAACCCGGCGGAGCAGACCUCCGUCAUCAUGCACUGAAUCCAUAGGUGCAUGAAGGGAACCCGGGGAACUGAAACAUCUAAGUACCCGGAGGAAGAGAAAGAAAGAUCGAUUCCCGGAGUAGCGGCGAGCGAAAUGGGAAGAGCCUAAACCAGCAUGCGUGCAUGCUGGGGUUACGGACUGCAUAAAGUGAGCUGAUAGGAUAGGCGAAUGGUUUUGGGAAAGCCAGCCGCAGAGGGUGAAAGCCCCGUAGCCGAAAUCCGUAGGCAGCAGGCAGAAUCCAGAGUACCACGAGACACGUGGAACCUUGUGGGAAGUCGGGAGGACCACCUCCCAAGGCUAAAUACUAC
rnacentral:rRNA from 1 species